rnacentral:rRNA from 1 species
GUGGGGAAUAUUGCGCAAUGGGGGAAACCCUGACGCAGCGACGCCGUGUGAGGGAAGAAGGCUUUCGGGUCGUAAACUUCUUUUGCAGGGGAAUAAAGUGCAGGACGUGUCCUGUUUUGUAUGUACCCUGAGAAUAAGGAUCGGCUAACUCCGUGCCAGCAGCCGCGGUAAUACGGAGGAUCCGAGCGUUAUCCGGAUUUAUUGGGUUUAAAGGGUGCGUAGGUGGUUUGAUAAGUCAGCGGUGAAAGUUUGCAGCUUAACUGUAAAAAUGCCGGUGAAACUGUCGGACUUGAGUGUAAAUGAGGUAGGCGGAAUGCGUGGUGUAGCGGUGAAAUGCAUAGAUAUCACGCAGAACUCCGAUUGCGAAGGCAGCUUACUAAGCUACAACUGACACUGAAGCACGAAAGCGUGGGGAUCAAACAGGAUUAGAUACCCUAGUAGUCC